rnacentral:sRNA from 1 species
CGAUGGUGCAUUAUUCUAGUCAUACUGUCUAUUAUGAGGGUGGGGCUAAAAAUCCACUAAAGGGCACAUCGUUGAAGUUUCUUGUUUGUGCGCGAAAUGCCAGUUUUGUGUGUUUGCAGGGAGUAAAGGAAUUAGGGUAGUAUAUAAUGGCAUAUAUAUGAUUCCCUCAUUUCGCGGAGGCUUAAGUUGCAUCUUAAGUAUAACCUAUGUUGAGUGCCAAGACACAAAAUACAUAGUGUAGCCUGUCUCGAGUGAAGGUAUUGGGAUUAAUUUAUCAAAAAUUAAAAAAUUCGGCCAAAUUUUUAAAUUUUUAGUUAUGAAAUUGCCUUUGCAAAAAAGACUAAUAACAGAAUAAAGUAUGUUAAGGAAAACUUCUAGGCUGUUAGUUCAUUUAAGAACUAGGAAAGCUAAGGAUUAAGGUACGGAUUUAAGUGGUGAUCUGGUGUUCAUUUUAUGAAUAUUUUCUUUAAACGGAAACGGCUAAAUAGUAAUAUUUAGUAGAAAAUAGAGAAAUUCGACUAGACCUAAACCGUAAAAUUUACUUAGCUUUUUACCAUCUAAAAUAAUAA